rnacentral:rRNA from 1 species
GACGAACGCUGGCGGCGUGCUUAACACAUGCAAGUCGAACGCUGAAGCUCAGCUUUUGUUGGGUGGAUGAGUGGCGAACGGGUGAGUAACACGUGAGUAACCUGCCUCCUUCUUUGGGGUAACGCCCGGAAACGGGUGCUAAUACUGGAUAUUCACUGGUCUUCGCAUGGGGGUUGGUGGAAAGGGUUUUUCUGGUGGGGGAUGGGCUCGCGGCCUAUCAGCUUGUUGGUGGGGUGAUGGCCUACCAAGGCUUUGACGGGUAGCCGGCCUGAGAGGGUGACCGGUCACAUUGGGACUGAGAUACGGCCCAGACUCCUACGGGAGGCAGCAGUGGGGAAUAUUGCACAAUGGGCGCAAGCCUGAUGCAGCGACGCCGCGUGAGGGAUGGAGGCCUUCGGGUUGUGAACCUCUUUCGCUCAUGGUCAAGCCGCAACAAUGGUUGUGGUGAGGGUAGUGGGUAAAGAAGCGCCGGCUAACUACGUG